rnacentral:lncRNA from 12 species
AUGACAUGGUCUUCUCUUUCUGUUGUCUCCAUGGUGACAAGAACUCUGCAUCUUGUGUCUGAGAUUUGCUAUGGAUUGGAUCUUAUAUCCAAGGUUUUCUCUGCCCAGGUUCCUACUGAUCUGUCUACUUUGGGGCCUCCUACAAUUCAUCACCUUCCAGUUUCCAUUGGGAAGAUGACAAGGAUGAAACUUUCUUCAUAAGAAGACUUAUGAACAAGGUGAGACCUGCUAUAGAAAAUACGGACAGUGGCAAUUUCCGUAGUCUGAUGUGAAAUGAUCAUGACGUGGACCAGACAAAAGUCAAAGGAAAAGCUUUGACAUACUGAGUCAUAACCUAGGAAACCAUAAAGAAUCUUCUAACGGUAAUAUUAAAGUAGAAAGACCAUCAGCAAUAAAAUGUCAAGAAGUACAGAAAAAUUCUGAAAG